AUUGAACGCUGGCGGCAUGCCUUACACAUGCAAGUCGAACGGCAGCACGGGAGCAAUCCUGGUGGCGAGUGGCGAACGGGUGAGUAAUAUAUCGGAACGUGCCCAGUCGUGGGGAUAACGUAGCGAAAGCUACGCUAAUACCGCAUACGAUCUAUGGAUGAAAGCGGGGGAUCGCAAGACCUCGCGCGAUUGGAGCGGCCGAUAUCAGAUUAGGUAGUUGGUGAGGUAAAGGCUCACCAAGCCGACGAUCUGUAGCUGGUCUGAGAGGACGACCAGCCACACUGGGACUGAGACACGGCCCAGACUCCUACGGGAGGCAGCAGUGGGGAAUUUUGGACAAUGGGCGGCGA
rnacentral:rRNA from 1 species